rnacentral:rRNA from 1 species
AACGAACGCUGGCGGCGUGCCUAACACAUGCAAGUCGAACAGUAAAACCCGCAAGGGUGAGUACAGUGGCGCACGGGUGCGUAACACGUGGGUAAUCUGCCCAGAAGCCCGGAAUAACUCCCCGAAAGGGGUGCUAAUGCCGGAUGAGACCACGGGGACUUCGGUUCCUGGGGGAAAAGGUGGCCUCUGUAUACAAGCUAUCACUUCUGGAUGAGCCCGCGGCCCAUCAGCUAGUUGGCGGGGUAAUGGCCCACCAAGGCUACGCCGGGUAGCUGGUCUGAGAGGACGAUCAGCCACACUGGAACUGAGACACGGUCCAGACUCCUACGGUAGGCAGCAGUGGGGAAUCUUGCGCAGUGGCGAGAGCCUGACGCAGCAACGCCGCGUGUGUGAUGAAGGUCUUCGGAUCGUAAAGCACUGUCGGGAGGGACGAAUAAGGGCCGGGUGAACAAUCCGGUUCGACGACGGUACCUCCAGAGGAAGCACCGGCUAACUCUGUGCCAGCCGCCGCAGUAACAC